rnacentral:rRNA from 1 species
GUCUACGGCCAUACCACCCUGAAUGCGCCCGAUCUCGUCUGAUCUCGGAAGCUAAGCAGGGUAGGGCCUGGUUAGUACUUGGAUGGGAGAAAAGCCCAGAAUAAAGAGUCAAAGCUGGUAUGGCAACUC